CUUGCACACUAAAGAUGGCGACCGGCGCACGGGUGAGUAACACGUAUCCAACCUGCCGAUAACUCGGGGAUAGCCUUUCGAAAGAAAGAUUAAUAUCCGAUAGUAUAUUAAAACCGCAUGGUUUUACUAUUAAAGAAUUUCGGUUAUCGAUGGGGAUGCGUUCCAUUAGUUUGUUGGCGGGGUAACGGCCCACCAAGACUACGAUGGAUAGGGGUUCUGAGAGGAAGGUCCCCCACAUUGGAACUGAGACACGGUCCAA
rnacentral:rRNA from 1 species